CCUACGGGUGGCUGCAGUGAGGAAUAUUGCCCAAUGGAGGAAACUCUGAGGCAGCGACGCCGCGUGGGUGAAGAAGGCCUUCGGGUCGUAAAGCCCUUUUCUGCGUGACGAGGAAGGACGGUAGCGCAGGAAAAAGUCUCGGCUAACUACGUGCCAGCAGCCGCGGUAAAACGUAGGAGGCAAGCGUUAUCCGGAGUUACUGGGCGUAAAGCGCGCGCAGGGGGAUGGAUAAGUGGGUUGUGAAAGCGCUCGGCUAAACCGGGCGAGGACAAAUCAGACUGUUCAGCUAGAGGCGGAUAGAGGAGCGUGGAAUUCCGGGUGUAGCGGUGAAAUGUGUAGAGAUCCGGAGGAACACCAGUGGUGCAAACGACGCUCUGGGUCCGAACUGACGCUGAGGCGCGAAAGCGUGGGGAGCGAACGGGAUUAGAUACCCGAGUAGUC
rnacentral:rRNA from 1 species